UACGAAGGGGGCGAGCGUUGUUCGGAAUUACUGGGCGUAAAGGGCGCGCAGGCGGCUCUGAAAGUCAGAUGUGAAAGCCCCGGGCUUAACCUGGGAAUUGCAUUUGAUACUCUGGAGCUUGAGUACGGGAGAGGAGAGUGGAAUUCCCAGUGUAGAGGUGAAAUUCGUAGAUAUUGGGAAGAACACCGGUGGCGAAGGCGGCUCUCUGGAACGCAACUGACGCUGAGACGCGAAAGCGUGGGGAGCAAACAGG
rnacentral:rRNA from 1 species